CAAGGAUUCAGAGUUGAGCAGGUAAUUUGGACAAAGUCAUCAAGGACCACGGGAGAGAUAACUGCAAACACACGUUCAUAGUAAGUCAAGGUGAAUAACUGUUAUUUAAAAUAAAUGAAGAGAAGGACCCAGCCACGGAAUCAGGAAACAGAUAAGUUCUGGAGUAUUCUUAGUUUUUUUUUCUCAGUAAAAUCAUUAGGUCUAGUAUCUCCUAUAUCAUCACAGGCUACAAUAGCUGUAUCCAUAUCUGUCACAACCAUAGCCCAGGAUACCAUAUCCACAGUCACAGCUGCAAACAUAGCCCAGGCCACAGAAACCUGGGCCACCAUAGCCCAGGGCACCAUAUUACCACAAUAACACAUAACAUGAAAGUAGACUGUUUUCAUUAAGAAUUAAGGGUAACAGU
rnacentral:lncRNA from 1 species